rnacentral:rRNA from 1 species
GAAGAACGCUGGCGGCGUGCCUAAUACAUGCAAGUCGAGCGAACAGACGAUGAUCUUGCUCCUCUGACGUUAGCGGCGGACGGGUGAGUAACACGUGGAUAACCUACCUAUAUGACUGGUAUAACUUCGGGAAACCGGAGCUAAUACCGGAUAAUAUAUUGAACCGCAUGGUUCAAUAGUGAAAGACGGUUUUGCUGUCACUUAUAGAUGGAUCUGCGCCGCAUUGGCUAGUUGGUGAGGUAACGGCUUUUCAAGGCAACGAGGCGUAGCCGAACUGAGAGGGUGAUCGGCCACACUGGAACUGAGACACGGUCCAGACUCCUACGGGAGGCAGCAGUAGGGAACCUGCCGCAAUGGGCGGAAGCCUGACGGAGCGGCGCCGCGUGAGUGAUGAAGGUCUUCGGAGCGUAAAACUGUGUUAUUAGGGAAGAACAAAUGUGUAAGUAAAUAUGCCCGUCUUGACGGUACCUGAUCAGAAAGCCCCGGCUAACUACGUG